rnacentral:rRNA from 1 species
UGCAACGCGAAAAACCUUACCCACCUUUGACAUGUACGGAAUUUUCCAGAGAUGGAUUAGUGCUCGAAAGAGAGCCGUAACACAGGUGCUGCAUGGCUGUCGUCAGCUCGUGUCGUGAGAUGUUGGGUUAAGUCCCGCAACGAGCGCAACCCUUGUCAUUAGUUGCUACAUUUAGUUGGGCACUCUAAUGAGACUGCCGGUGACAAACCGGAGGAAGGUGGGGAUGACGUCAAGUCCUCAUGGCCCUUAUAGGUGGGGCUACACACGUCAUACAAUGGCUGGUACAAAGGGUUGCCAACCCGCGAGGGGGAGCUAAUCCCAUAAAGCCAGUCGUAGUCCGGAUCGCAGUCUGCAACUCGACUGCGUGAAGUCGGAAUCGCUAGUAAUCGU